GACGAACGCUGGCGGCGUGCUUAACACAUGCAAGUCGAACGGAAAGGCCCUGCUUUUGUGGGGUGCUCGAGUGGCGAACGGGUGAGUAACACGUGAGUAACCUGCCCUUGACUUUGAGAUAACUUCAGGAAACUGGGGCUAAUACCGGAUAGGAGCUCCUGCUGCAUGGUGGGGGUUGGAAAGUUUCGGCGGUUGGGGAUGGACUCGCGGCUUAUCAGCUUGUUGGUGGGGUAGUGGCUUACCAAGGCUUUGACGGGUAGCCGGCCUGAGAGGGUGACCGGCCACAUUGGGACUGAGAUACGGCCCAGACUCCUACGGGAGGCAGCAGUGGGGAAUAUUGCACAAUGGGCGGAAGCCUGAUGCAGCAACGCCGCGUGCGGGAUGACGGCCUUCGGGUUGUAAACCGCUUUCGCUUGUGACGAAGCGUGAGUGACGGUAAUGGGUAAAGAAGCACCGGCUAACUACGUG
rnacentral:rRNA from 1 species